AAAUAUAAUUUUGCACCGUGUUGUGCUAUUUAAAUUUUGUAUUUAAUCAUGCCUGUUUUUAAUUAAAAAAAUUAAAUUAAAUGUCAAAUGAAACAAAAUAAUUUUCUAUCAUGACUUUACUUGUUCUUAUUAAUUUGAAUUGGCUCUAAGUAGUUCAUAAUAUUAGAGUUGGCCAGAUAAAAAAAUAUUUUAACCAUUGUCGUAUUAAUUUUUUUAAAAGUAAUGAUGUUUUUUAUUGUUACAGUUAACUUAUUAAACCUGCAAAACAAUACCACUUGGGUUUGUAAAAAGUUUGAUUUUAUCUUUGCAUCUUCGAUGUUGAUGCGUGAGCUUAUUCUAUAUAUUAGUUCCAUUUGGAAAAAAGAUGCAAGGAGGCAAUUCUUGCUAGGCAGCAGAAACCUAAGUGCAGUAUGGACUACGAGAUCGAACUCUGCUUUGUGAAGUUUCUCAAUGGAUAAUUUGUGGCUAACCAACGCAAGAAGCAGCAUUACUAGGAGACUUGUGCUAUCUGGGGCAUCAAGCAAACCAUCGCAUGUCACCUCACAUUGGAACUGAAGGCCACGAAAGCUUAAUCCCUACUUCUUUGAUUUCCUGCACCAUGUUUCGUUGGAGGAUGUAAGGUAGGAAGGGUGGUUUACAAGGAAUUAAAAGAAUUGAAAAGACACAAGGAAUCAUUCCUUCCUUGAGUAUAUAUACAAUCCACCGGCAGUUUUUUCCUUCAGGAGAUCUGGCAUCCUACUUGUGAAGAAGCUACUAGGACACAUGUGGACCAUUCCGAAAACAAAGCCAUGUGUUCCCUACUUGAUCAAAAUCCCAUACAUGUUAGCGAGCAUUUCUUGAAAGUUGAAAUUCACUUACUUUUUGCUUGAACACUCACACGAGUACUCCUGCCAGCCCACCAAAGAAAGCAAAGCGUUGGAAUUGAACCGUAACACUAUCUCCCAUGUCCAUCAACCCACAUGGGAACCAUCCAUUCCUCGAUGAAAAUGUCCCCUGAAAGAGGUUGCAGAGCGUACACGGCAGAAAACGUAGUUUUGUCGGUACAUAAAAAAUUAAUGCUUGGACGGAGGAGAUCAAAGUAUGUUGUUUAAUUGAUACGAUUGUUGACCUUAGUUUGGUAAAGAACAGAAGCAGCUUUUUUGAGUUCAA